CCAGUUCAGAGCAAAAUCCAGACCUCUGGCGCUCCCAUUCCCCCCCCAUAAAUAGCCGCGGCGCCCGCUCCACUCCCCUCUCUGUCUCUGUCCAGCGCCUUCCUCCUCCCAUUACUCGCGCCGCGACGCCGACACACACCACCACCUCCCCGCCGCCCAGCCCAGCGCAGCGUCCAGCCCGCCCCCAUGUCGUCCGCCUACGCGUCGCGGCACCGCGGCAGCGGCAUGUCCACGACGACGGUGCUCGCGGCCAAGGUGGCGUUCGCGUCCGCCGCGCUGGCCGCGGCCGCGUCCUUCGCGCGCCUCGCAGUCCCGCAGCUCGUGUCCGUGGCCGGCGCCGUGCUCCCGCGCGCCUGGGCCGUCGCGCGCUUCUGGCUCGUCCCGCCCUACCUCUUCGUCACCGUGCACCUCAUCAUCCUCGUCAUCUGGAAGCUCUCCGACCACAAGCACUUCCAGCAAGCCCAGGCGGCGCACCAGCACAAGGACCCCUGGCCGGUUUCUCAGCAGCACACGCCACCGGCCGCCGUCACGGCCUCCGACGUGGCUGCCCCCGCCGCCGUCAAGGUCAAGGAGGAGUUCGACUUCUCGGCCGGGUACGGCGAGCCCCUGGAGCGCGAGUUCUCCCCGGACUCCGGCGGCGGCGAGUCCUGCGUCACCACGGAGUCCGACGAGGACGCCACUUCCUCCCCGUCCUACGUCUCGGACGUGAGGCGCAGCCUGGCGCCGGCGCACCAACACGCGGUUCUUGAGCGGGAACCUUCGUUGCCGUCCCAGACCGUGGACGGCGACGGCGACGACGACCUGGACGCCACGUGGAACGCCAUCAUGCAGAAGACCCGCCCGGCUGCUGCUGCCGCGGCGCCGGCGCCUCCCCCUCCCGCGCAGCAAUCGCCGCAGCGGCCGCCGCCGAGGGCGCGGGACCCGUCGGUCGGCGCGGAGGAGAUGAACCGACGGUUCGACGACUUCAUCAAGAAGAACCGCAACUCCUUCGGGCGGCAAUAGGCGUCCUCCGAUCCGACGCCGCCUCCCCGCCGCAGCCGUACGAUACGUAUAUAGACACAUGCAUCUUUGGUUUUUGAUCUUGGUGUGCCGCCGAAGAGAUCGCGGGAGCGGAGGGAGGCGGGUCAAUCGAAUCGCAAUGCUUAGGCUGCGAAGGUUCUGGAUGGAUUAUUGGAUGGAGGUGCUGUGGGAGUAGCUAGAGAUGACCUUAAUGCGCUGAAAUGAUGGUUUGAGUUGGUACCUGGCUGUUAGGUUCUCCUUUUCAGUUGUUGCCCUUGCUAGCCUGGCAUUUGUUCUUAGCUUUUCCCUUUUUUCUUUUCUUUUCCUACAGCUCUUUUACUGAUUAUAACAGUGCUAAUUGUGCAAGUUCAUAUAUGGUGCUAAUACUGGUGAAGUAGUGGGUGUGCCUGUGGUUAUAUAUGAACUGUUGCUACCACAUGGGGUGUGUUUGUCUGUGUGGAAUAGAGAGAUGCACAUGUCAAUGACCAUACAUGCACUUCCUUUGCUCCA